rnacentral:rRNA from 1 species
AUACGGAGGAUCCGAGCGUUAUCCGGAUUUAUUGGGUUUAAAGGGUGCGCAGGCGGGAGAUUAAGUCGGCGGUGAAAUUUUGCAGCUCAACUGUAAAAGUGCCUUCGAAACUGGUUUCCUUGAGUGUAGAUGAAGUAGGCGGAAUUUGUGGUGUAGCGGUGAAAUGCAUAGAUAUCACGAGGAACUCCGAUUGCGCAGGCAGCUUACUAAACUACUACUGACGCUCAGGCACGAAGGCGUGGGGAUCAAACAGGAUUAGAUACCCUGGUAGUCCACGCAGUAAACGAUGAUUACUAGCUGUUUGCGAUACUAUGUAAGCGGCUGAGCGAAAGCGUUAAGUAAUCCACCUGGGGAGUACGUUCGCAAGAAUGAAACUCAAAGGAAUUGACGGGG